ACGAACGUUGGCGGCGUGGAUUAGGCAUGCCAAGUCGGAACGCGGAAAGAGGGGGCAACUCCUCGAGUAGAGUGGCGAAAAGGGGCAGUAAUGCCUGGGGUAACCUACCCUGAGGAUGGGCAUAGCCGGCCUAACGGCCGGGUAAUUCCCAGCGUUGUAGCGAGAUGGCAUCACCUUGCUACCAAAUGAUUUUAUCGCCUUGGGAGGGGCUCAGGUGAUAUUAGCUUGUUGGUGAGGUAAUGGCUCACCAAGGCAAAGAUGUCUAGCGGGUGUGAGAGCACGACCCGCGCCACUGGCACUGAGACACUGGCCAGACACCUACGGGUGGCCUUGCAGUCGAGGAUCUUCGGCAAUGAGCGCAAGCUUGACCGAGCGACGCCGCCGUGCGCGAUGAAGGCCUUCGGGUUGUAAAGCGCUUGUCGAGGGGGGAGGGAAAGCCCGCAAGGGUCUGACCUAUCCCUGGAAGGAAGCACGGGCUAAGUUUCGUGCCAGCAGCCGCGGUAAGACGAACCGUGCGAAACGUUGUUCGGAUUCACUGGGCUUAAAGGGCGCGUAGGGCGGCUUGGCCAAGUCCGGGGUGAAAUCUUUCGGCUCAACCGGAAAAGUGCCUUGGAUACUGGCGGGCUAGAGGGAGAAUAGGGGUUGCGUGGAACUUCUGGUGGAGCGGUGAAAUGCGUAGAUAUCAGAAGGAACGCCGGUGGCGAAAGCGACGCACUGGACCUCUACUGACGCUGAGGCGCGAAAGCCAGGGGAGCGAAACGGGAUUAGAUACCCCGGUAGUCCUGGCCCUAAACGAUGGGUAACUAGGUUGUGGACUUGACAUGGGUUUCACAGCCGAAGCAAAAAGUGGUAAGUACCCCCGCCCCUGGGGAGUAUGGUCGCAAGGCUGAAACUCAAAGGAAUGACCGGGGGCUCACACAAGCGGUGGAGCAUGUGGCUUAAUUCGAGGCUACGCGAAGAACCUUAUCCUGGACUUGACAUGUGCGAAAGCGCUGGGAGUAGCCUGCGGAAACGUAAGGGCCAACGGUAUCCAGUCCGGAAACCCAGUACAGGUGCUGCAUGGCUGUCGUCAGCUUCGUGUCGUGAGAUGUCGGGUUAAGUCCCCUUAACGAGCGAAACCCUUGCCUCCAGUUGCCAGCGGGUCAUGCCGGGGACCUCUGGAGAGACUGCCGGUGUUAAACCGGAGGAAGGUGGGGAUGACGUCAAGUCCUCAUGGCCUUUAUGUUCCAGGGCUGCACACGUGCUACAAUGGCGUGAACAAAGGGACGCAAACCCGCGAGGGGGAGCCAAUCCAAAAAACCACGCCCCCAGUUCAGAUCGAAGGCUGCAACUCGCCUUCGUGAAGCCGGAAUCGCUAGUAAUCGCAGGUCAGCCAACACUGCGGGUGAAUGUGUUCCUGAGCCUUGUACACACCGCCCGUCAAGAGCCACGAAAGGGUGGGGCAUCCGAAGUCGGUGUCACAGCCGCCGAAGAUGAAAACGCCUGAUUGGGACUAAGUCGUAACAAGG
rnacentral:rRNA from 1 species